rnacentral:sRNA from 1 species
GCCAGGCAUGGUGGCGCAUACCUGUAAUCCCAGUGGCUUAGGAGGCUGAGGCAGGAAGAUCGAGAUUUCAAAGUCAGUCUAAGCAAAAAAGAGACAUUAAGCAACUCAGUGAGACCCUGUCUCUA